UGAAAGAGGUGUUUUUGUUGCUGAAAAUGAGCAAUUAGCAUAACCAGUUAACCAUAAAACCUUAAUCAAAAACUGUAGCCUGACUCAUUAUAUGUGCAACAUUCUGUGUAACUUGUAAACUGUGAUCAUUUCACAGACACAUGUGACUCAUGUCUCUUUCUCUAAAAUUGUAUUGUAGCAUUAUUAGUUAUUAUUACUAUUAUUAUUGUUGCUAUUAUUAUUAAUGUAUAAAUAAAAUAAAUAAAUAAAUAAAUAAAUAUUAUAAUCUGUAAUACAUUUGGCUCUUUUGCGACAACAAACUUAAAUCCAUUAAUUAUUAUACAGAAAACAAAUGCACAAACAUGUUGAAAUGCCAGCAGCUUAAUGCUAACUUUAACAUUGAAAACGCCAUAGGCAUGCUAAAGUGUUAGCAUCGUCAUUAGCAUAAAAUACAUCUAUCAACUGUUUCAA